AAAAAGAAUAAGGAAAAAAAAACCAAAAAACCAAACCCGAUUAUUUAUUAUUAAAAACUCUGUGUAUAACUCUUGUAGUUUUGGUUUUUUUUCUCUCUCUCUUCAAACGCGCAAUAUUCUUUUUAUCGUGAGUAUUUUACAGCUAGGGAAGUAGAAAACAAAGAGAAGUCGAGAUAGUUGAAAGUUCAAGAAAACUGAA
rnacentral:ribozyme from 1 species